CGGUAAUACGGAGGGUGCGAGCGUUAAUCGGAAUUACUGGGCGUAAAGCGCAUGCAGGUGGUUUGUUAAGUCAGAUGUGAAAGACCCGGGGCGUCAACCUCGGAACUGCAUUUGAAACUAGGCAGACUAGAGUAUUGUAGAGGGGGGUAGGAAUUUCAGGUGUAGCGGUGAAAUAGCGUAGAGAUCUGAAGGAAUACCGGUGGCGAAGGCGGCCCCCUCGGACAGAUACUGACACUCAGAUGCGAAAGCGUGGGGAGCAAACAGGAUUAGAUACCCUGGUAG
rnacentral:rRNA from 1 species